rnacentral:rRNA from 1 species
GAUGAACGCUGGCGGCGUGCCUAAUACAUGCAAGUCGAGCGAACAGACGAGGAGCUUGCUCCUCUGACGUUAGCGGCGGACGGGUGAGUAACACGUGGAUAACCUACCUAUAAGACUGGGAUAACUUCGGGAAACCGGAGCUAAUACCGGAUAACAUGUUGAACCGCAUGGUUCAACAGUGAAAGACGGUCUUGCUGUCACUUAUAGAUGGAUCCGCGCCGCAUUAGCUAGUUGGUAAGGUAACGGCUUACCAAGGCAACGAUGCGUAGCCGACCUGAGAGGGUGAUCGGCCACACUGGAACUGAGACACGGUCCAGACUCCUACGGGAGGCAGCAGUAGGGAAUCCUCCGCAAUGGGCGAAAGCCUGACGGAGCAACGCCGCGUGAGUGAAGAAGGUCUUCGGAUCGUAAAACUCUGUUAUUAGGGAAGAACAAAUGUGUAAGUAACUAUGCACGUCUUGACGGUACCUAAUCAGAAAGCCACGGCUAACUACGUG